UGAAUGAAUGGCUGUCAUCCAGAGAGAUAUAAAAUAUCAAGACCUCUGCUCAAAGACCACACUUGGACUGACAAUUUCAUCAUCCAGAAGACUACUGGAAAAUUGUGAAACUAUAAAUUGAGAAGUAAAGCACUCAAAAGAAGAGACAAAAGGAGUGAAGGAAAAGGAGGAGUUGACGAGGGAAAGAGAGACAAAGAUCAGACUGGUAGCAACAUGUGGCCUGACACCGCUCAUGGACCAUUGCUUUCUGAAAGGCGCCAUCAUUAGAGGGAGUUUCAGACAGAGGCAAUGAUGAGCUGUCAACACGUGAGAAAGAAUUGACUAAUGCAACAGACAUGCAACUUACUUUCAUCUAUGAAACUUCUGGUGUUAUUAGAAAGAGUAUAUCCAUGAACAUUAUUAAAGAAUGUUAUUUUACGUGAAGUAUUCAGAAAUAUUUCCUACACUUUGAAUGUUUAAGAAAUAAUACUUACAUUGCCAUUUUCAAAUUAAACUUGUCACAAAAUCUCAGAGCAUAACAGUGAAACAAAGGGAUUGUUUUUCAGAAACAAAGAAGUGUCUUAAAACUACUCAACACAAUUUGAAUCUUUCCUGAAACUUGAUCUACAUAUUUCCCGGCAAUGUAUUUUUACCAACCUUCAAACUAAACUUCUUUGUUAAAUGUAUGACUUGAUGGCGAUGUCGGAUAUGAAACUACUGUAAGUACUUUCCCUUUUAAAUUUCAGUUGUCAAGUCACGUUAUCUAGUUUAUACUUCUCUGAAUUAUAUUCAGUGCUUUCCCAUUCUUUGCUAACACAACAUCUCAUAAAAUCACAUAGGGUAACAUAAUAUGACAGUUAAAUUUAAGAGACCUCUUAUUUUAUUUGAAAUUCAACCAAUGUUCCAAUUAAAUGGCAAUAGAUGAUUAGAGAAGAAAUGACAUCCUCAUUUCAGAGAUAUUUUUACUCCAAUGUAUUUUUAAUGCUCUCAUGUCUUUUAUUAUUUUGACAGGUUUUUAGAAACAGUUUCAGAAGCCCUUGUUUGGGGCCUGAUUUUUUCCAAUGAGAGAUAUUUAAAAGUUUCAUGAGCACACUAUUGUAAUAUAUGAUACUAUUGAAUGAAAACAUUCUUAAAAGGUAAUUUAAAUAUUUACAUUGUUGAUAAAACCUUCUAGUGACAACACCUGCAAAAUAAAUAGGAGGCAAAUGGCUUUCUCUACUCAAUAGCAUGCAAUCUGAACCAGAACUCACCAAUAAUGAUAUUGAAAAAGUUCUGAUGACACAGUGAUGGCACUUACUGAAAAGGGGUCAUGAUAUGUAAGCAUAUGAUAAUAUAUCUGAUAAUUAGAAGCAAAAGACAAAUCAAAUAACAAAAGAUGCAUACACAAGAUCAGAUGUUGAUUUAAAAAAAUAAUAUACUCUUCUUCCUGGACAUUUUAAGUGUCUUAAAAGAUAUCAUCUCUAAAUAAACAAUGCUUUCAUGGGAAAACAAACACACCUUGGUACUUUUCAGGUAGUAUUUUAUACAUUGCAAAUUCUAGAAACAAAGUGGAUUCACAUGUAUUGCACCACGUGAUCCUCACAAACAUCUGCAACUCCAUUGAUUUCUCCUGUUAAUCAAUGGAAAACAUGAAAAUCUCCAAGACCA